rnacentral:rRNA from 1 species
AUUGAGCGCUGGCGGCAGGCCUAACACAUGCAAGUCGAGCGGAUGAAGGGAGCUUGCUCCUGGAUUCAGCGGCGGACGGGUGAGUAAUGCCUAGGAAUCUGCCUGGUAGUGGGGGAUAACGUCCGGAAACGGGCGCUAAUACCGCAUACGUCCUGAGGGAGAAGGUGGGGGAUCUUCGGACCUCACGCUAUCAGAUGAGCCUAGGUCGGAUUAGCUAGUUGGUGGGGUAAAGGCCUACCAAGGCGACGAUCCGUAACUGGUCUGAGAGGAUGAUCAGUCACACUGGAACUGAGACACGGUCCAGACUCCUACGGGAGGCAGCAGUGGGGAAUAUUGGACAAAGGGCGAAAGCCUGAUCCAGCCAUGCCGCGUGUGUGAAGAAGGUCUUCGGAUUGUAAAGCACUUUAAGUUGGGAGGAAGGGCAGUAAGUUAAUACCUUGCUGUUUUGACGUUACCAACAGAAUAAGCACCGGCUAACUUCGUG